CCCACAUCAGCCUCUUCUGCACGUCAGUCAGCUCAGCUCGCCACCCCAGCAUCAAUAGAUAAAGCCAACCAUUUCCCAUCAUUCCUUGCAGAUCUAAGGUAAUAGCGUUUCCCUCACGUGGCCUUCCAUCUGGGGACCCCACAAGAGGCUUUACAGCGCCUCUGACAAAGUGCUCUUCUAAGAUCACAUUUGCUCAUCCAGCCAACCUCAUGGAGAGACACUGCCUCAUCCUUCUGCAAUCUGCUCGUCUCUUGCCAGUAGCCCUAAAAGUCCCACUGUGGCUGUCCACGUCACUGUAAACCCACAUCUCACGUCACAACAUCCUGACGCCUCUUCUCAAACAUGUAUGUCUUACCCCCAUUGUUGAAGGACAAGCUCCUGGAGUCAUUGAGUAUAGUUUGUAACUUCCUCUCCUGGCACGAGGUUCAGGUUUCAUAUCAGAUAUGGCCUCUCGCUAACCCACAGCCUGCGGGUACUUAGUCUUAAGCCUUCGUUGUGCCCUUAGCACAACUCGAUUCCUAAAGAAUUGUUACUUUUCGUUAUUUUAAUAACUUAGUCUUUGCUCGUGCACUCACACAUUGCUCCUGGUAAAACCGCGUAUGCCACCAACAAGGAGCAAACACUGAAUUAGCUUAGCUCCGCCCCGAAGUCCACAAAUUCCAAACACAAUAAAGACCCUCAUGUCUUGAGAAUGUCAGAGAUCUGCAGGAUGUCUCGAAAGCACACGACGCAUUGAAAUGACCUCAUCUUCAUCCACUAGAGUCGUGGGCUCAAGCAGCGGGGGUAGAGAAAGAAGACAAGCCAAGGGGAGCACUCUUGGUAUCAACAGUAGAUGGAAGGCUCAUCUGUCUUAGAACUCAAACCAAGACAUGCAGGCGAUUGAUGGGAUGUGUCAACAUUUACUACACAACGGAAUAAGCCAGAAUGUAUGAUCAUGGUGAUAUCCCUCCGGGCUCAACUUCUCAUAAUCUAUCUUGGGUUUUCUGUGUUUUUAUCAUAAUUAAAAUACACAUUAAAAAGUGCUAUAGCUCUAAGG